rnacentral:rRNA from 1 species
UACGAAGGGGGCUAGCGUUGUUCGGAAUUACUGGGCGUAAAGCGCGCGCAGGCGGUCUUCCAAGUCAGUGGUGAAAGCCCGGAGCUCAACUCCGGAACUGCCAUUGAAACUGUUGGACUUGAGUACGAGAGAGGUGAGUGGAAUUCCCAGUGUAGAGGUGAAAUUCGUAGAUAUUGGGAAGAACACCGGUGGCGAAGGCGGCUCACUGGCUCGUAACUGACGCUGAGGUGCGAAAGCGUGGGGAGCAAACAGG